GAUGAAGAACGUAGUGAAAUGCGAUAAGUAAUGUGAAUUGCAGAAUUCAGUGAAUCAUCGAAUCUUUGAACGCACAUUGCGCCCCCUGGUAUUCCGGGGGGCAUGCCUGUCCGAGCGUCAUUGCACCCCUCGAGCCCCCCGUGGCUUGGUCGUGAGCCGCGCCCGCGCCAGCCCCGUCCCCCCCCGUGCAGCGGGGGGCAGGGGCGCCGGGCGGGCUCGAAACGCAGUGGCGGCCCCCGGGCGACUUCCAGCGCGAUGACAUGUUUCGCUGCCGAAGCCUUCGCCCCGGGCGCCCGCCAGGCAACCCCCGUGCUUCUUACGCGGUUGACCUCGGAUCAGGCAGGGAUACCCGCUGAACUUAAGCAUAUCAAUAAGCGGAGGA
rnacentral:misc_RNA from 1 species